GCCAGGCGCGAUGGUAUGUGCCUGUAGUCCCAGCUACUUGGGAGGCAGAAGUGGGAGGAUCGCUUGAGUCCAAGAGUUCUGGGCUGCAAUGCGCUAUGCCAAUUGGGUGUCCCUACUAAGUUCGGGCUCAAUAUGGUGACCUCCCAGGAGCGGGGGACCAACAGGUUGCCUAAGGAGGGGUGAACCGGCCCAGGUCAGAAACGGAGCAGGUCAGAAAUUGGAUGGAUGGUUUAUUAAAUACAUUAGAUUUACAAAAUCAAGUACACAGAAAGUUCUAUUUAAUUGUCGCAGUCUUUCACAGCAUAAUGAUAUUUU
rnacentral:SRP_RNA from 1 species